UACGUAGGGUGCAAGCGUUGUCCGGAAUUAUUGGGCGUAAAGAGCGUGUAGGCGGCCAGGUAGGUCUGCUGUGAAAACUCGAGGCUCAACCUCGAGACGCCGGUGGAAACUGCAAAGCUAGAGUCCGGAAGAGGAGAGUGGAAUUCCUGGUGUAGCGGUGAAAUGCGCAGAUAUCAGGAAGAACACCCGUGGCGAAGGCGGCUCUCUGGGACGGUACUGACGCUGAGACGCGAAAGCGUGGGGAGCGAACAGG
rnacentral:rRNA from 1 species